UCAAGCGAAUAAGCGCACACGGUGGAUGCCUUGGCGGUCAGAGGCGAUGAAGGACGUGGCAGCCUGCGAAAAGUAUCGGGGAGCUGGCAACAAGCUUUGAUCCGGUAAUGUCCGAAUGGGGAAACCCACCCGCUUGCGGGUAUCCUGCAGUGAAUACAUAGCUGCUGGAAGCGAACCUGGUGAACUGAAAUAUCUAAGUAACCAGAGGAAAAGAAAUCAACCGAGAUUCCGUAAGUAGCGACGAGCGAACGCGGACUAGCCCUUAAGCUGGAUUGGUUCUAGGAAAACGCUCUGGAAAGAGCGGCCAUAGAAGGUGAUAGCCCUGUAUCUGAAAGGGCCAUUCCAGUGAAGACGAGUAGGGCGGGGCACGUGAAACCCUGUCUGAACAUGGGGGGACCAUCCUCCAAGGCUAAAUACUACUGACCGACCGAUAGUGAACCAGUACCGUGAGGGAAAGGCGAAAAGAACCCCGGAGAGGGGAGUGAAAUAGAACCUGAAACCGUGUGCGUACAAGCAGUAGGAGCUCCGCAAGGAGUGACUGCGUACCUUUUGUAUAAUGGGUCAGCGACUUACUGUUCGUGGCAAGCUUAACCGUAUAGGGGAGGCGAAGGGAAACCGAGUCUGAUAAGGGCGCAUAGUCGCGGGCAGUAGACCCGAAACCGGGUGAUCUAGUCAUGCCCAGGGUGAAGGUGCGGUAACACGCACUGGAGGCCCGAACCCACUCCCGUUGCAAAGGUAGGGGAUGAGGUGUGAUUAGGAGUGAAAAGCUAAUCGAACCCGGAGAUAGCUGGUUCUCCUCGAAAGCUAUUUAGGUAGCGCCUCAUAUGUAUCCUCUCGGGGGUAGAGCACUGUUAUGGCUAGGGGGUCAUCGCGACUUACCAAACCAUUGCAAACUCCGAAUACCGAGACGGACUGUAUGGGAGACACACGGCGGGUGCUAACGUCCGUCGUGAAAAGGGAAACAACCCAGACCCACAGCUAAGGUCCCAAAUUCACUGCUAAGUGGAAAACCAUGUGGAAAGGCACAGACAGCCAGGAGGUUGGCUUAGAAGCAGCCACCCUUUAAAGAAAGCGUAAUAGCUCACUGGUCGAGUCGGUCUGCGGGGAAGAUUUAACGGGGCUAAGCAGUGAACCGAAGCUUGGGGUGCAUACUUUGUAUGCGCGGUAGAGGAGCGUUCCGUAAGCCGUUGAAGGUGGAUUGAGAAGUCUGCUGGAGGUAUCGGAAGUGCGAAUGCUGACAUGAGUAACGAUAAUGCGGGUGAAAAACCCGCACGCCGAAAGCCCAAGGUUUCCUUGCGCAACGUUAAUCGGCGCAGGGUGAGUCGGCCCCUAAGGCGAGGACGAAAGUCGUAGUCGAUGGGAAGCAGGUUAAUAUUCCUGCACCUCGCGUAAGUGCGAUGGAGGGACGGAGAAGGUUAGGUGUACCAGGCGUUGGUUGUCCUGGGGAAAGGCGGUAGGUUUGGAUCUUUGGCAAAUCCGGGAUCCUUUAAGACCGAGCACCGAGACGAGCCUUUAUGGCGAAGUCACUGAUACCACGCUUCCAGGAAAAGCUCCUAAGCUUCAGCUUACGCAGACCGUACCGUAAACCGACACAGGUGGGUAGGAUGAGAAUUCUCAGGCGCUUGAGAGAACUCGGGUGAAGGAACUAGGCAACAUGGCACCGUAACUUCGGGAGAAGGUGCACCCUUUUUGGUGGCUCGUGCGAGCUAUAGCUGAAGAGGGUCGCAGUAACCAGGCCGCUGCGACUGUUUAUCAAAAACACAGCACUCUGCAAACACGAAAGUGGACGUAUAGGGUGUGACGCCUGCCCGGUGCUGGAAGGUUAAUUGAUGGGGUCAGCCGCAAGGCGAAGCUCUUGAUCGAAGCCCCAGUAAACGGCGGCCGUAACUAUAACGGUCCUAAGGUAGCGAAAUUCCUUGUCGGGUAAGUUCCGACCUGCACGAAUGGCGUAACGACAGCGGCGCUGUCUCCACCCGAGACUCAGUGAAAUUGAAAUCGCUGUGAAGAUGCAGCGUUCCCGUGGCAAGACGGAAAGACCCCGUGAACCUUUACUAUAGCUUUACACUGAACGUUGAGUUCGUCUGUGUAGGAUAGGUGGGAGGCUAUGAAACUGUGGCGCUAGCUGCAGUGGAGCCAUCCUUGAAAUACCACCCUGUCGUGCUUGACGUUCUAACCUGGGCCCAUUAUCUGGGUCGGGGACCGUGUAUGGUGGGUAGUUUGACUGGGGCGGUCUCCUCCUAAAGAGUAACGGAGGAGCUCGAAGGUACGCUCAGCGCGGUCGGACAUCGCGCACUGUGUGCAAAGGCAUAAGCGUGCUUGACUGCAAGAUCGACGGAUCAAGCAGGUAGGAAACUAGGACUUAGUGAUCCGGUGGUUCUGUAUGGAAGGGCCAUCGCUCAACGGAUAAAAGGUACUCCGGGGAUAACAGGCUGAUACCGCCCAAGAGUUCAUAUCGACGGCGGUGUUUGGCACCUCGAUGUCGGCUCAUCACAUCCUGGGGCUGUAGUCGGUCCCAAGGGUAUGGCUGUUCGCCAUUUAAAGUGGUACGCGAGCUGGGUUCAGAACGUCGUGAGACAGUUCGGUCCCUAUCUGCCAUGGGCGUUGGAGAUUUGAGAGGGGCUGCUCCUAGUACGAGAGGACCGGAGUGGACGAACCUCUGGUGUUCCGGUUGUCACGCCAGUGGCAUUGCCGGGUAGCUAUGUUCGGAAGCGAUAACCGCUGAAAGCAUCUAAGCGGGAAGCGCGCCUCAAGAUGAGAUCUCCCGGGGCACAAGCCCCCUGAAGGAACCAUGUAGACUACGUGGUUGAUAGGUCAGGUGUGUAAGUACAGCAAUGUAUUGAGCUAACUGAUACUAAUGAUCCGUGCGGCUUGACCAU
rnacentral:rRNA from 1 species